rnacentral:rRNA from 1 species
UUCUGGCUCAGGAUGAACGCUAGCGGCAGGCUUAACACAUGCAAGUCGAGGGGCAGCGGGAUGUAGCAAUACAUUGCCGGCGACCGGCGGAUGGGUGCGUAACGCGUAUGCAACCUACCUUAUACAGGGGAAUAACCUUUCGAAAGGGAGACUAACACCCCAUAGUAUUGAUUUAAGGCAUCUUAGAUUAAUUAAAUAUUUAUAGGUAUAAGAUGGGCAUGCGUAUGAUUAGCUAGUUGGUAAGGUAACGGCUUACCAAGGCGACGAUCAUUGGGGGUUCUGAGAGGAAGGUCCCCCACACUGGUACUGAGACACGGACCAGACUCCUACGGGAGGCAGCAGUGAGGAAUAUUGGUCAAUGGGCGCAAGCCUGAACCAGCCAUGCCGCGUGCAAGGAAGACGGCCUUAUGGGUUGUAAACUGCUUUUACAUAAGACUAACCGUAUAUUUGCGAAUAUACCUGAAUGUAUUAUGAGAAUAAGGAUCGGCUAACUCCGUGCCAGCCGCCGC